rnacentral:rRNA from 1 species
AUGCCGCCUCCGCCUCCGCCUCUCGCUCAGGAGAUGCCCCGCCCGGCCGCCGCCGCCGCCCGGGAGGACCACGCGACCAUGGACGUCGCACGCCCAGCAGCAAGGUGUGAGAUAUGUGGGAGUGGAGAGAACCAGCACGUUAUGUUCAGCUGCAUCCAGUGCAACGGCUGUCAACAUCGUUAUUGCCUGCUGGUGGUGGAGUUUGAAAUGAGAUAUGACUGGUGUUGCUCUGAAUGCAAAAAAAAGGCUAAUGGGGACCCAAAACCUAUUCAAGGUGAAAAAACAGAGUUUCAAAGGCCUGAGAAGGGUCACAGAAAUGUGGCCCAUCAAAUUGGUGUUAAAACACCACAGAUAUAUGAAAAUUCUAAAGUGAAGUUCAUUCGCUGUGAAGAGGAGGCACUGUUGAGUAGAGAGAGGCCAGCAGUUCAUUAUACGCGAAGAUUUGUCGCGCGACGUAGUCAGGUUAAGCCUGCAUCUCCACCAAAUCUGAAGUGCUCAUCCCCCAGUAGACAGGUUCAUCCUGCAUCUCCUCCACGUAUGAAAUGCAUAUCACCCAGUAGACAGGUCCAUCCUGCAUCUCCAACUAUGAAAUGCAUAUCACCCAGUAGACAGGUCCAUCCUGCAUCUCCAACUAUGAAAUGCAUAUCACCCAGUAGACAGGUUCAUCCUGCAUCUCCCUCAAGCAUGAAACCUUCGUCCAGUAUGAAGGGCAUACUUCCCAGUAGUCAGGGUCGCCCUCCAUCUCCUCAAAGUAUGAAACAGUCGUGCAGUAUGAAGUGUGUAUCUCCCAGUAGGAGUGAUGGUCAAGCAGUUUCCUUGAAGCGAUGCGCUGUUGCAAGUCAAAACCCGAUAAAAGCUGAUGAUACGAAGAAGAGACAGAAAGUGCAGUCAGACAUUAUUUUUGAAAAAACAGGUGCGACGAUUCCUACGAUUCCACAUAAUACAAAAGGAGAAGUUACGAGAAUUGACCAGCAGCUUCAAGAUCAGCCUAAAGAAGAGAAGGUAGCCAAUGCAGAUGGAGGAAAAUGCAACUCCUGGAUAGACGAUCAACCUACUGGGAAAAGUGCACUCAAUGCUUCAGUGCUAACAGAUGCUGAUAGUGGAUGUGGAUCUGGAACAAAGAGUCUGCACAACAAUAUAGACAUGCCAGUGAUCAUCAGCUCAAGUGCAGAGUAUGCAAGACGCCCUCCACCAGAAGGACAUUGCUGGAAGGGAUGCUUUCUCCUCUCUGAUGGAGAAAGUUCUAAUCUUGGUGAAUUUAAAGCAUACUUCCCAUCUGUAGUAUCACCCAGAGUUUGUGAUAUCGCCAAGAAGAUGCCUAACAAUAUACAGUUGAAGAUAUCACCUCGAAUGAAUUACUGGCCAAAGACCUUUGACGAAUUCUGUCCAGUUUAUGAUGACAUUGCCUUGAUAUUUUUCCCUGCUGAACUUGACUGUUAUAACAAAAAGCAUCCUCGUCGCUUGGAGGCGUACAACAAUUUUGUCAUGAAGGCAUAUAUUGAUGACAUCAUGCUGUUGAUAUAUUCCUCGGAAGUGCUUCCACCUGAUUCUCAGUGGAUAGACGGAGAGAAUUACCUAUGGGGAGUUUUUGUGAAGCCGAAGGCAAAGAGCAAUCAUGCGCACUUAGGUUCAGUUGCUACAUGA